GGAAGUAAAGUCGUAACAAGGUCUCCGUUGGUGAACCAGCGGAGGGAUCAUUACUGGAAUCGCAAGAUCCCACAACCCUGUGAACCUACCGAAACGUUGCCUCGGCGGGUGCCCGGCCUCUGCGCCGGGCGCUGCGCCCGCCGGCGGCCCCCUACUCUGUCUCUGCAGCGUGGCAUCUCAGAGUCCCAGAAAACAAGUCAAAACUUUCAACAACGGAUCUCUUGGCUCUA
rnacentral:misc_RNA from 1 species